rnacentral:tRNA from 1 species
UCCGUGGUAGUCUAGAGGUUAGGAUCUCGGUCUCUCACACCGAAGGCCCGGGUUCAAUUCCCGGCCACGGAA